CCUACGGGGGGCAGCAGUGGGGAAUAUUGCACAAUGGGGGAACCGUGAUGCAGCGACGCCGCGUGAGUGAAGAAGUAUUUCGGUAUGUAAAGCUCUAUCAGCAGGGAAGAAAAUGACGGUACCUGACUAAGAAGCCCCGGCUAACUACGUGCCAGCAGCCGCGGGAAUACGUAGGGGGCAAGCGUUAUCCGGAUUUACUGGGUGUAAAGGGAGCGCAGACGGCUGUGCAAGUCUGGAGUGAAAGGCGGGGGCCCAACCCCCGUACUGCUCUGGAAACUGUAAAGCUGGAGUGCAGGAGAGGUAAGCGGAAUGCCUAGUGUAGCGGUGAAAUGCGUAGAUAUUAGGAGGAACACCAGUGGCGAAGGCGGCUUACUGGACUACAACUGACGUUGAGGCUCGAAAGCGUGGGGAGCGAACAGGAUUAGAUACCCUAGUAGUC
rnacentral:rRNA from 1 species